AAGCACGGCUUCGCAGCGCACAGACAGGGAGGGAACUCCCAAGAAUUGCUGUGAGGAAAGUCCCCGUGCCUUUGGGCAGAGAGUGCCAGCAGGAGACUGCGAGAUGUCGUAAUGUUCAUUGUCAGCGACGCUUUCAUGCCGAGGUGCAGUGGCAAGAUGGCAUCCUUCACAGCAGCACAGCCAUGUCGUGAGUGUUCGAGCGAGGACGCCAACUGAACGAGGCUCAUUCUC
rnacentral:RNase_MRP_RNA from 15 species